AGCUGAUCAUUGGGUGUAAAGCGUGCGCAGGCGGUUUUGUAAGACAGUGGUGAAAUCCCCGGGCUCAACCUGGGAACUGCCAUUGUGACUGCAAGGCUAGAGUGCGGCAGAGGGGGAUGGAAUUCCGCGUGUAGCAGUGAAAUGCGUAGAUAUGCGGAGGAACACCGAUGGCGAAGGCAAUCCCCUGGGCCUGCACUGACGCUCAUGCACGAAAGCGUGGGGAGCAAACA
rnacentral:rRNA from 1 species